rnacentral:rRNA from 1 species
CCACUUCGGUGGGGAUUAGUGGCGAACGGGUGAGUAACACGUGGGCAAUCUGCCCUGCACUCUGGGACAAGCCCUGGAAACGGGGUCUAAUACCGGAUACAACCACUAGGGGCAUCCCUUGGUGGUGGAAAGCUCCGGCGGUGCAGGAUGAGCCCGCGGCCUAUCAGCUUGUUGGUGAGGUAACGGCUCACCAAGGCGACGACGGGUAGCCGGCCUGAGAGGGCGACCGGCCACACUGGGACUGAGACACGGCCCAGACUCCUACGGGAGGCAGCAGUGGGGAAUAUUGCACAAUGGGCGAAAGCCUGAUGCAGCGACGCCGCGUGAGGGAUGACGGCCUUCGGGUUGUAAACCUCUUUCAGCAGGGAAGAAGCGAAAGUGACGGUACCUGCAGAAGAAGCGCCGGCUAACUACGUGCCAGCAGCCGCGGUAAUACGUAGGGCGCAAGCGUUGUCCGGAAUUAUUGGGCGUAAAGAGCUCGUAGGCGGCUUGUCACGUCGGUUGUGAAAGCCCGGGGCUUAACCCCGGGUCUGCAGUCGAUACGGGCAGGCUAGAGUUCGGUAGGGGAGAUCGGAAUUCCUGGUGUAGCGGUGAAAUGCGCAGAUAUCAGGAGGAACACCGGUGGCGAAGGCGGAUCUCUGGGCCGAUACUGA